AAAAGAAGAUAACUUACCGUGAUGGUUAGAGACUCGUGCUGAUAACGUGUUAUAAAAUGAAAGCAAUUUAGUAAAACAUGAACAAAAUAUAUAAGCAACUUAGUGAAACAAGAACAAGAAAAAUAGAUAGAGAGAAUGAAGAGAUUUUCUUCUUCAAUUGUAUGUCCUUUCCUAUCUAUUACAAGGCCUUUAUAUAGGCAUAAAAAGUAAAGAAAAUAUGUCAUAGAAUAUGCCAUUGAACAUACAAAAUAUGUCAUCGAAUAUGUCAUUAAGCAUUUGAGAUGAAGAUUAUGGAAAAUGAGUAGACGUCCAAUAUAAUAUGUUAUUUAUUAUAAUACUAGUAUAUAUUUCAUGUUUGUUUAUUAGAUAAGAUAAAAUCUUUCUAUCAUAAUCCAAAAGAUAACAAAAACAAAAAGACAAAGGACUACUGUGCCAUCAUCAUGUGAAUCAAUAAUUCCUAUCAAUCAUGGCAGAGAUGAUUCAACCAAAAUCUUCAUGUAUUCGACGGUUGUCAUCAAAGUGUGACGAGACCGUAACUCAAACACAACGAUCUAUCCGGCCUAGCGAACUUUCAAUGCCAAAGUUAGCUAGUCAGCCUACCCGGAUGCUUAGUAGAA
rnacentral:lncRNA from 1 species